ACCAACGAAUGUGCCACCUUGAAUACACAAGUUCUCAUUCGAUCAAAAUAAGCAACAUUGGGCGUGAUCAGAACUUGAAUAGGUGACUGUUUGGGAGAUCACGUACAUGUUGGUA
rnacentral:rRNA from 1 species